rnacentral:lncRNA from 1 species
AUGAACUGGAAAAAUUGUCUUCUGCUCCUUCUGUUUGUUAAGAGGAAUGAAAAUCCAUUCAGCAACCAAAAGCAACAUUCCAGUUCUCAAUCUAUUGUCUGGAAAUCAUUAAAAAAUGGGAUAGUCAAGAUGCGUAUUCCUGUCAGUUUUAAAGAACAUGCUUCUAAAGGCAUAGAAAACUUAGUUGAGAUAAAACUAAGGCCACAGAAACAAAUGUGCCCACUUUUUUUUAAUGUAAGGAUAUACCAAGCUAAAUAUCUUCAAAUUACAGGUUGAAGUUUUGAAUCUGCUCUUUGUUAAAGCUACUCAUGCCUCAAGAAAUUUGAUUCCAAUGUUCUUUGAAAAGAUUAUCUAAAUUUAGAGUAAAAUCUCUUUCACUAGAAAGUCUUGUAAAACCCUAUUAUGAUCAUUCAAAUGUAAAAGAAAAAUGUAGGUAAAACUCAUGAAAACAUUCUUUAAAAAAAUUUUUUUAAUGUUUGUUUAUUUUUGAGAGAGAGAGACAGAGAGAGUGCAGGGAGAAGGCAGAGACAGAGGAAGACACAGAAUCCGAAGCAGGCUCCAGGCUCUGAGCUGUCAGCACAGAGCCCGACGUGGUGCUCGAACUCAUGAACCGUGAGAUCAUGACUUGAGCCAAAGUUGGACAUUCAACCGACUGAGCCACCCAGGCGCCCCUCAUAUGAAAACAUCCUUGAUAUGUUAUCAACAUAGUAUACUCAUUUUCAAGUGUGCUCAAUAGUUUGGAGUUUGUCAACAACUUGUGAUACCAGAACCACACCAUUUAGACAUGUCUCAUUUGCCAGCUGGUACAAUGCUAGACUGUCCACCAUAGCCGCUGAAGAGACACUUUGAGGUGCUAGUCCUAGAAAGGCACUCCACUUUUAGGUCUUAAUCUUCUGUAUUUAUUAUCCAGCAAGGGAGCCCAGUGACCCACACAAACCAGUUCCAGCCAUACUCUCUGGGAAAUCAUCUGACCUAUAGUUCCAGCCAUGUUCUCAGGCAGAAGUCUCCCCUUUUGGUGGGCCAGUUCUAAGUAGCAUCUCCAUCCCUGACAAGUUUCUUCACCUCAGCACACUGUGUGUUCUGUGGUAGCCAUACCUGUCUCUUUGAAGAGAUCUGGACUCAUCCUCAGGAAGAACUUCUAAGUUCUCUGUUCUUUCAUUCUGCUUCCUGAAUGGACUCUACUGAUACGCUAAUUCUACUUUUGAAAAAGCUUAUUAUCAUGUCAUGGAAAAGGUAAACUGGUUC